GAGGGCAGCGUGGGUGUGGCGGAGGCAGGCGUGACCGUGUUGCCGCCCUCUUGCUGCUCUAG
rnacentral:miRNA from 1 species